UACGUAGGGUGCGAGCGUUGCCCGGAUUUAUUGGGCGUAAAGGGCGCGUAGGCGGCCACGCACGUCCGUUGUGAAAUCGCCCGGCUCAACUGGGCGGGGUCAGCGGAUACGGUGUGGCUCGAGCAAGCUAGGGGGCAAUGGAAUUCCCGGUGUAGUGGUGGAAUGCGUAGAUAUUAGGAAGAACACCAGUGGCGAAGGCGGCUCACUGGUCCGGUACUGACGCUGAGGUGCGAAAGCGUGGGGAGCAAACAGG
rnacentral:rRNA from 1 species